UUUGCCCUGCGAUGUGCGUGAGGCCCGAGAGUUUUGUUCCUAACACCAACAAAAUGGGAAACCAAUAACAAUGUACUGAGUGGCAGCCGCUAAGCCGGAUUCGCGAGGUACAUAGUGCGGUUACCCACCUGCAGAGAGCAGGUUCAAAACAAAGGGUUAACGGCAUUGUGGGGGUAAU
rnacentral:other from 1 species